CCCUUAGAUGUCCUGGGCUGCACGCGCGCUACACUGAUGUAUUCAACAAGUGUUACCUUGACCGAGAGGCCUAGGAAAUCUUUUAAAAGUGCAUCGUGAUAGGAAUAGAUUAUUGCAAUUUUUAAUCUUGAACGAGGAAUUCCUAGUAAACGCAGAUCAUCAAUCUGCAUUGAUUACGUCCCUGCCCUUUGUACACACCGCCCGUCACACCUACCGAUUGAAUGGUCCGGUGAAGCCUCGGGAUUGUAGCAAUCUACCUUUAUUGGUGGUUUGUUGCAAGAACUUGUCUAAACCUUAUCAUUUAGAGGAAGGUGAAGUCGUAACA
rnacentral:rRNA from 1 species